rnacentral:lncRNA from 10 species
CCGGGCGCUACAGGUGGGUGAAGUUAAGUGGCUGCUGGAGCGUCUCGGGGGACAGCCAGUGUCUGCGGCGCCGAGAGGGCCGUUCGUGGACUCAAAUGGGUAUCACCCCUACCGUUUAUAGUCCUCCCAAUAGUCUGCAUCUCGUUUUGUCGUGGCUGGUCGUGUACUCCUUGUGGAGUCUGAAGGUACAAGGGGAUCCCCAAAAUGGAGAAACAGGGUCUCUGUCACCCAGGCUAGAGUGCAGUGACUUGAUCAAGCUCACAGCAGCCUCCAUCUCCUGGGGUCCAGCAAUCCUCGCACCUCAGCCUCCUGAGUAGCUAGGACUACAGAUAAUCAAGCUAAGCACACAGGAUGACUGCCCAAGAAGCAAGUGACCGCAAUGGUGAAGCUGGGCCUCCACCCUGCCGUCUGGCUGACUUCAAGGCCUGCACAGCCUCUUAAGCCGCAUCCUGCUUGCUGCCUCCAAGCUUUCCUGACUGCAGCCUUUUCUCCAGUCACUUUUGAUAGAGGAGUUAAGAAGAAAUUACUUAGGCAGAUAGUGAGGGUAUGGAAGUCCUCGGUAAGGUUUUCCUUUUAAUGAAAAGCAGCCCCAAAUCAUUUUCCUUUCUAACAAACAGCAGCCUGUAAAAUCAAGCUGCAGACAUAGAUGCCGGCAGUUGUGCCAAUCAUGUUCAGAAUGGUGGCUCCCUUCUCCCUUCUCUGCCAGCCAUAUGUACAGUAAGGAGCAGACAACAUGGCUCGGGCCAAGGGUAAAGUUGAUUUGCAUAAUAAGAUUAGGGUGGGGCCCACCAGCCUUCCCCUGCACUAUGUAAACAUCACGCCUGACUGAACCAAUCUGUGAGCCCUAUGUAAAUCAGACAAUGCCUUCUCAAGCCUGACUAUAAAAUCCUGUGAGUCCACUGCCAGCCAGUCUUUCCUCUGGGAAGCCCCUCUCUCUCCCUAGAGAGAGCUGGUUUCCUUUCUCCUUUCUUUUUCUUUUGCAUAUUAAACUUCCACUCCUAAACUCCUCAUGUGUGUCCCUAUCCUAAAUUUUCUUGGUGCGAGACAAUGAACCAUGGGUAUUCACCCCACACAACGUAGCCUCUUCACUUUCUUCUUAAAUUUACCCAGACUGACCUUUCUAAUUCCCUGAGGCCACUUCUCAUUUUCCUGCUUCAGAACCAGCAGGAACUCCUGAGUGAAGUCCGAAUUCCUCUGCCGGACUUUUACCAUUUCUCUGUGAUCUGGCCUAAUGUGGACAAGUCUGUAUUUCCGCGCUGCAGGCCCUUCUCUGCAGCGGGGUGGUCAGCACUUGGCCUCCUUUGUGUCUCAAGCUGCGAGGCUCCCUCCCCCUUCAGCCUCUUGGCUUCACUCUAGUUUCAGUCUUCUGUGCUUUAUCGUUUCUCAUGCUGCACUCAGGCGCCUC